ACUGAUUAAUGUUUUACACAGGUACUGCUUCAAGAACAAUCUAAAUUAAUUUGAGAUAAUAAGCCAUCACCUAUAGGACAGAUAGUAUAAACCCCAAUUAAAUAAAAGUGGGUAAGUAGCUGUAAAGUCAUAGAUAUUAAAGUUAAAACCCAGUACUCUUAUUGUGUACUGAUGAGAUUGACUUGCUAGAUGUUUAAGAUCAAGACUUAAAGAUUGAGAUUAAUAUAAAGGGGCCAAGCAAAUCAAUAUUUGGCUCUUGCCCUCAGAGUCAGCCUGAAUCCAGGGAACAAGAGAACUUCUCUAAGGAGCUUUGCAACUCUGGGUCACACAAUCUCCUGAUCAGAGAGACUGAUGAAAGCAGUAGAAGAAGAAAAGCCAAUCAGUGCACCUGCUGCAGAGGAGAGUCAUUGGAAAAAGCAGAUAUGCCUGAUGCUUCCAAGGGAAGGCACCUCAUAAAGGAGACUCUACCUAGUGAAUGGCACUAAAGGAGUGAAAAACUGCUCUCAAGUUCCCCACAGGUGAACCCUGUGAGAACUCAGUUGACUGUUAACAGCUUAUAGGAACAAGGUUCAACUUAUGAGAGAACCAGUUUCAGGAGACCACUGAUUUCCAACACCCAUUUCAGUCAGAAGACUAUGGCUACAUCAAAUUGUUCUAGAAAGGACUAAUACCCAGCUGAAAUGGAAGGGACCUUACUCACAACAUGAACUUGUCACAUCUGAGUCAAGACAAGAGAAAAAUGGACAGCUCUCAGAGACUCCAACCACCAUCUAAAGAUAAGACUGAAAAAAUGUUAAUCAUGUUUUUUCUCUUACUUGGACUACAUCAGGAAUAGUUCCAUGCUUGGCCCUUCAACUUUUUGAGAUUACCAAAUGGAAUGAUUCUGUGUUACUGUUCACAUCUUUCCCCAGGUGUAUGAUGGGGAGGAAAAAGGGAACAUAUGGGGCUCAUGCAUUGAUCUAAAUGAGUGACCACUGUCUUAGUUCCCCUCCUAGAGGAAAUAAACAUAGCCAGCUACACAGCUAUAGGGACCACCACACUUAUUACAGGAAACCAAAAUUUCAAAACCUUAAGUAGACAAAUAGAUCUAAACUUAAAUAAAUUUUUAAAAAAUUCUGUAAGCCACUGAAAAAUUCCCUUGAUUCAUUUGCUAAGGUAGUUUUACAAAAAAAAAAAAAAAAACAACAACAACAAAAAAAAAACACCAGAGUUAAACUUGCUGUGUUUAAAAUAAAAAAAAAAAAAAAUUAUGUAUGGCCUUAGGGGAGACCUUUUGUUUCUAUACUAAACACUCAGGUGUCAUUCAUGAUACUUUAUCUUUGAUUUUUAUCUUUGAUCUUAAAAAAAGGCUCAAAAAAGUGAAAAAAAAAAAAAAAAAACUAAAAGCCUGAGAAAAAUUGGUACCAAAAUCUGUUCUCUUGGUUCCCCUGGUUAACUACUCUAAUAACCACAAUGGUGAGACCUCUUACCCUAGUUAUGUUGGGACUUUUAAUCAGGCCAUACACGAUAAACUGUUCAACUAAAUAUGUUAGAGAUAGAAUCCAGUCUGUUAUGCUAAUGGUGUUGCACACUCACUACAAUCACCUACACACUACUAGUAAGUCAAUGAUUUGAUUAUGUACAAAAAAACAGUGGGGAAUGUGAUGGGCUGACAGAUCUGGCUGCAUGAGAAUGUUAUAGGCCAGACUCUAAGGAAAAUGACUAAACAGACUCCAUUUUGCUCCAUGAAUCCAUGUUAUGUAUGAAAUAAGCUUCUCCCAUGGGAGCACCCUGCCAGUGUACCCAUCAACAGUUACUUAGCAUGUCAUGUUUAGUAAUACAAAAUGACAAUUUCUAUGUAAA